ACAGUGGGGUUUCUGUUGUUGUCCUGUCUCUCCUGGCGUCCUGCUUCCCUUCAUCCACUCUCCUUUUUUUCUGGUUUUUCCCUUCUCCUCCUUCCACUCACGCUCCCGGUGGAGUUGGGACUCUUCCUCGGCAGAGUCCUGUCAGGUUCGCAGCGUCCAUCCGUUGUUUUGGGGGGGAGCUCCAACAGAAGCCAGAAAACCAUGCUGAGAGUUUUGGCGCUGGCGUCAGUGGUCCUCCUGGGAAUAGCACCCCAGGCAUCCCAGGCCAUUACUGUUUACACCAGCUGGGAGCGCCACGCCCUGGUGGGCUCAGACAUCAGGCUGUCCUGCUCCUUCUUCUCCUGGCGCUUUGUUUCCGAGGAUGUUUCCUUCACCUGGAGAUACAGACCAGACGGCUCGCGGGACAGCAUCUCUAUCGCCCACUACGCCGGUGGUGAGGCCUACACUGACAACAAAGGCGCGUUCAAGGACAGGGUGGAGUUCGUGGGGAACCCGAAGCGUCGUGACGGCUCCAUCCUGAUCAAAAAUUUGGAUUUCAGCGACAACGGCACCUUCACCUGCGACGCCAAGAACCCCCCUGACAUCGUGGGGCGCCCCUCCAGCGUCCGGCUGCUGGUCUUUGAGACCUUGCCCAUCCAAGCGGGUGUGAUCACGGGGGCCAUCAUCGGUGUGGUGCUGGGCCUGCUGGUGCUGAUUGUGGUCAUCUACUACCUAAUGAGGUUCCUGGUGGCGCGUCGCGUCUUCAGCCUUAAUGUCAGCAAACAUGGCAAGAAAAAGAAAGAGGGAUCACAGCAGAGACAGGGCCCCGCGCCUCCCGCUGACCCCUCCAAGGUGAAGGCGGCCGCCUCGGAAAAGAAGAAGCAGGAGUCUCGCAAGGAUAAGAAAUAGGAUACGGGGCGGGCCUGGGGCGGGCUGCUCCAGCCCCUGCGCCAGGUACUGGCGGCGAAGAUAAAGGUCUGACUUCUCCAUGACUGCCUCCACUCCUCUAGUCUGCUCCCUCUUUUUCUGCCCAGGCUGAUGCAACCCCCAUUUUUUCCCAUUAUCUGUACUCUCUCAAGACAGCAUUGGCUGUAAGAAUAGCCCCCCGUAUUUCACUGUGCAACAGUGUCAAAUAAUUUUUACAACGCCUCAUCGAAGACGGCGUUUGCGAUCACUGGGCUAACUGUAAAAGUCUUUAAGGCCUAGCUAUGCACAUAACUCGACAGACCACCCCUCAUGUGUUUGGAAUCUUCCCCCUUCACUUUAAUGUUUACGACUCAAUCACGUCCACCGAGCGGAGCUGCCAAGUCACACUGGACUUCACAUAGAGGAAAAACAGAGCGUGAUAGCCAGAGAGAAAUAUGAUUCCUGCUCUCAGCCGACGCAGAUAGAAGUUCAAGCCCCGGAGCUCGGAGGUGAUUCAAUCCUCUCACAUUUGAGCUAAUGGAGGUUGUUGCUGUGUCCCUGCCCAGGCUGAAGGGGGGCUAUUUCUGGCCUCUAUAAGACGGCACAGGCUUACAGUAACAGCUGCACAUUUUUCAACCAACAAGGGGGGGUUGGAGGUGGAGGUGAUUUUUUUUCCCCCUUCCCGUUUGUGCCUGAGAGAAUAUCCGCGGCCGGCUCAGCGGCCAGUGACUGACGAACUGGAA